CCUCCAGUGUCCCAAGAUCACUGCCUCCACAUUCCACCACAACACUCGAAGCUCCUAUCUCAAAUAUUAACCGAAAGUUAAGAACUUUCGAACAUUCCAUGACGAGGUUAAGUUUCUAAACCUUAUCUUCAGGGAACUCAAACCGUGUCUGACCCUGUUAUUUGCUUCGUUGCACAUAAAAUUCAUGUGGGGUGUUGAUUUUAGUGUUUUUUGAGAAAAAAGUUUAACUGAUUUUAGCAUUGUUCAAAAUGCCUUCUGAGGAUAGUUUAAGGCAGAGGCUAAAAAAGAAGGCUACUAAACCUGUAGUAAGCACUUCUAGGAACUCUAUUAGAACUAAGAAGAAUGAAAAUUCUUUUGAGAAAAAUGGGGUUUGUGAUAGAGGAAAUGGGUCUGAGGGGAAGUUGAAGAAAAGGGUGAAGGUUAAAGGAAUGCAAUGUGGUGGAGAAGUUGAGGAGAGGGGAAAGUUGAGGACUUUGGAUUCUGGUGGGAAGAAGAAGAGGGUAUAUGCUAAGGAGGGAUGGGAUAAAAAUGUGAAGUUAGAGAAUGGUGUGGAAACAUCUAAGAAGAAGAGAACUUUGAUUAGGAAUGGUGAGAAGCGAGUGAAAGAUGAGCCUGAUAAAGGGAACACAGGCCACCUUACAAUGCGGGGUCCCAGUAAGUCAAUGAAUGCCGGAUUGAAGGUGAAGCAAUCGACUCACAUGGGGAAGGAAAGGAAGGAAGAUGUUGCGUUGGUCACUGAUAAACAGAAAGGCAAGGCGAAGGAGGUGGAGAAAAUUGGAUUGGUUGGGGCAGAAGAUCAAGGAAGCCGUUCGGUGAAGAGAGGUAGAGAAAAUAAAACUGAAUUGAGCAAAGGGAAAAACCAAGAAGUUGUAUCUCGUUCAAGUUUUGCCAAGAAAAAAGCCAGAGAUAAAACAGGGUUGGAUGAUGAUGAUGCUGAGAUGCUAGAUGAUCGCCCAAAGAAGAAGAAAAGGGUGAUAAAGAUUGACCCACAUGAUAUCUCAAACAAGAGACUAGAUGAUGGCAUUGGUAUUAAUGGAAGUAAAGAGGAGAAGAAAAAUGAAAAGGAGUCCGAGAAAGAGCCUAAGAUGUCCAAGAAUGCCCAGUUCCGUGCAAUACAGCCUAGCCCUUUAAUACUUUCCUUUGUGGAGAAAAAUCUUUUGGGAAGGAGACGCAUGAUUGACUUAAAAAGGGCAGGUUACAAUAUAGAUCUUUCUGCACCCUUAGAUAAUAUUCCCUUCUCUAGCAGUUCAGAAAGAGAGAAAAUUGAAGAAAAUAUUUUUAGGAAUAAAUUGGAAUUUUUUGCUGCUGCAAAGGUCUCAUCAUCAUUUCCAACUCCUAAUCUUCCAGAGAUUGCAUUUGCUGGAAGGUCAAAUGUCGGGAAGUCAUCUCUUCUUAAUGCACUGACUAGACAAUGGGGGGUUGUGCGGACAUCAGACAAGCCCGGCCUUACACAGACAAUCAACUUCUUCCAGCUGGGAACAAAGCAUUGCUUAGUUGAUUUGCCAGGAUAUGGAUUUGCUUAUGCAAAAGAAGAAGUGAAAGAAUCUUGGGAGGAGCUUGUGAAGGAGUAUGUGUCCACAAGAGUUGGUCUCAAACGAGUAUGCCUGCUGAUUGAUACAAAGUGGGGUAUGAAACCAAGAGAUCUUGAACUAAUUGAAUUAAUGGAAAGAUCAAAAACUAAAUAUCAGAUUGUAUUAACUAAGACAGAUAUGGUCUUUCCAAUUGAUGUGGCAAGACGUGCCAUGCAAAUUGAAGAGAGCCUCUUCCAGAACAAAUCUGUAGUUAAGCCUGUGAUGAUGGUAAGCUCAAAAUCUGGAGCAGGAAUUCGAAGCCUGAGAACGGCCCUAGCCAACAUAACUCGAUUUGCCAGAAGAUUGUAGUAAGGAUUUUUACCACCAAUCCAAACACGCUGUAGAAGUUGUGACCUUAAAAGUGGUUACGAAUCCCCUUUAGUGAGUACUUUGGUGCAACCUUCGUGCCAUCAUCCAUCAUAUUUUGUGUUUUUUUUUCACUGAUGUUUUAUAUAGUCAAGACAGCACAUGGGCAUAGUGAAGUGGAUUCAUUUGUUUGAAGUGCAGACUUCAUUUGCCACGUGCCAGGCCAAACCUUUUUUUUUGCCUCCCAUCUAAUUUUUAGUAGCAUUGCAAGAAAUUAUUUUAUGAUUGUUUUGGGUGUUUUUUAUAUAAUAGCUCAAAUAAUUUUUUUUCUUUGGUCAAAAAGAGUGGGUGCAUGCAUGACAUGCUUACCACUUUAGUUUUCAGCGUGGACCUAACCUUAUUAACUCCCUCAGCCGCCCCACACUUGAUCUAAAUAUUUCUAUUUAUUACUAUUUCCCCUGAGAAAUGGAUUUCAAGGAUCAGCAAUGAAUGCCAUUAACUUGUGGAGCAGUUAAAUUAA